rnacentral:tRNA from 1 species
UCCCUGGUGGCCCAGUGGUUAAGGCUCUGUGCUUCCACCGCAGAGGGUGCAGGUUCAGUCCCUGGCCAGGGUG